UACGUAGGGGGCUAGCGUUGUCCGGAAUCAUUGGGCGUAAAGAGCUCGUAGGCGGCUUGUCGCGUCGUCCGUGAAAACCCACAGCUCAACUGUGGGCUUGCGGUCGAUACGGGCAGGCUAGAGUUCGGUAGGGGAGACUGGAAUUCCUGGUGUAGCGGUGAAAUGCGCAGAUAUCAGGAGGAACACCGGUGGCGAAGGCGGGUCGCUGGGCCGAUACUGACGCUGAGGAGCGAAAGCGUGGGGAGCGAACAGG
rnacentral:rRNA from 1 species